rnacentral:rRNA from 1 species
UUCGCCCUUUUCCGGUUGAUCCUGCCGGACCCCACUGCUAUCGGGAUAGGACUAAGACAUGCUAGUCAUGCGCUUUCAGGCUAAUGUGAAAGUGCGGCAUACAGCUCAGUAACACGUGGCUAACCUGCCCUUGGGACGGGAAUACCCCCGGGAAACUGGGACUAAUUCCCGAUAGGUGAAAAAUUCUGGAAUGAAUUUUCGCCUAAAGACGUUUAUGUCAUGCUCAUAGGCGUUGCCCAGGGAUGGGGCCGCGACCGAUCAGGUAGUUGGUGAGGUAAUGGCUCACCAAGCCUUUUACCGGUACGGGCCGUGAGAGCGGGAGCCCGGAGAUGGGCACUGAGACAAGGGCCCAGGCCCUACGGGGCGCAGCAGUCGCGAAAACUUUGCAAUACACGAAAGUGUGACAAGGCUAUCCCGAGUGCCAUCCGCUGAGGAAGGCUUUUACCCAGUAUAAACAGCUGGGAGAAUAAGGAGAGGGCAAGUCUGGUGUCAGCCGCCGCGGUAAUACCAGCUCUCCGAGUAGUGUGGAUGUUUAUUGGGCCUAAAGCAUCCGUAGCUUGCUAUACAAGUCCCCUGUUAAAUCCACCGAUUUAAUCGUUGGAUUGCGGGGGAUACUGUUUGGCUAGGGGACGGGAGAGGCCGACGG